rnacentral:rRNA from 1 species
AUUGAACGCUGGCGGCAGGCCUAACACAUGCAAGUCGAGCGGAGCGGCGGACGGGUGAGUAAUGCCUAGGAAUCUGCCUGGUAGUGGGGGGUAACGUCCGGAAAAGGGCGAUAAUAACGCAUACUAUCAGAUGAGCCUAGGUUGGAUGAGCUAGUUGGUGGGGUAAUGGCCUACCAAGGCGACGAUCCGUAACUGGUCUGAGAGGAUGAUCAGUCACACGUGAAAUGAGACACGGUGCAGAACUCGACGGGAGGCAGCGGUGGGGAACAUUGGACAAGGGGCGGAAGCCUGAUCUAGCCAAUGCGGGUGAGUGAAGAAGGUCUUCGGAGCGUAAAGCACUUCAAGUUGCGAGGCGUUACCUAACGAAUAAGCACCGGCUAACUUCGUGCCAGCAGCCGCGGUAAUAC